CUCAGAUCUUUUUGCUUGCCCACUUUUACUUAUUCCAACAUAUGGAAUUCAAGGACUGAUUGUUCAUUUGCUGCCUAAUGUGGCAAAGAUGCCUCUGCCACGUGUUCUUGGAGGAGCCUGCUGGCUAGCCUCCUUCCCAAAGACUGUGGGCCAUGUAAAAAGACAUGUUAAAAGUUAACUUCCAUGGAAAAUCUGAACCAUUGAACCGAUCUGAGUGAUUUUUGGAUAUGAUGGUCACUCAGAUCAGGGCUAUCCGGGGAUGUGACUCAUUAU